GCACCUGUGGCGAAAUUGGUAGACGCAAGGGACUUAAAAUCCCUCGCCUAACGGCAUGCCGGUUCGACUCCG
rnacentral:tRNA from 1 species